rnacentral:rRNA from 1 species
AGAAUCAACGCUGGCGGCGUGCCUAACACAUGCAAGUCGAACGAGAAAGGGUAGCAAUACCUGAGUACAGUGGCGCACGGGUGAGUAACACGUGACUAACCUACCCUGGAGUGGGGAAUAACUGAGGGAAACCUUAGCUAAUACCGCAUAAUACCUACGGGUCAAAGGAGCAAUUCGCUUCAGGAGGGGGUCGCGGCCGAUUAGUUAGUUGGCGGGGUAAUGGCCCACCAAGACAGUGAUCGGUAUCCGGCCUGAGAGGGCGCACGGACACACUGGAACUGAAACACGGUCCAGACUCCUACGGGAGGCAGCAGUGGGGAAUUUUGCGCAAUGGGGGAAACCCUGACGCAGCAACGCCGCGUGGAGGAUGAAAUCCCUUGGGAUGUAAACUCCUUUCGAUCGGGACGAUUAUGACGGUACCGGAAGAAGAAGCCCCGGCUAACUUCGUGCCAGCAGCCGC